rnacentral:rRNA from 1 species
GACGAACGCUGGCGGCGUGCUUAACACAUGCAAGUCGAACGCUGAAGCUCAGCUUUUGUUGGGUGGAUGAGUGGCGAACGGGUGAGUAACACGUGAGUAACCUGCCCCCUUCUUUGGGAUAACGCCCGGAAACGGGUGCUAAUACUGGAUAUUCACUGGUCUUCGCAUGGGGGUUGGUGGAAAGGGUUUUUCUGGUGGGGGAUGGGCUCGCGGCCUAUCCGCUUGUUGGUGGGGUGAUGGCCUACCAAGGCUUUGACGGGUAGCCGGCCUGAGAGGGUGACCGGGCACAUUGGGACUGAGAUACGGCCCAGACUCCUACGGGAGGCAGCAGUGGGGAAGAUUGAACAAUGGGCGAAAGCGUGAUGCAGCGACGCCGCGGGAGGGAUGGAGGCCUUCGGGUUGUGAACCUCUUUCGCUCAUGGUCAAGCCGCAACAAUGGUUGUGGUGAGGGUAGUGGGUAAAGAAGCGCCGGCUAACUACGUG